rnacentral:tRNA from 1 species
GCAGUGGUGGCUUAGUGGUAGGGUUCUUGUCUUCCAUGCAGCAGACACGGGUUCGAUUCCCUGCCAAUGUA